rnacentral:rRNA from 1 species
GAUGAACGCUGGCGGCGUGCCUAAUACAUGCAAGUCGAGCGAAUGGAUUAAGAGCUUGCUCUUAUGAAGUUAGCGGCGGACGGGUGAGUAACACGUGGGUAACCUGCCCAUAAGACUGGGAUAACUCCGGGAAACCGGGGCUAAUACCGGAUAACAUUUUGAACCGCAUGGUUCGAAAUUGAAAGGCGGCUUCGGCUGUCACUUCUGGAUGGACCCGCGUCGCAUUAGCUAGUUGGUGAGGGGACGGCGCACCAAGGCAACGAUGCGUAGCCGCCCUGAGAGGGUGAUCGGCCACACUGGGACUGAGACACGGCCCAGACUCCUACGGGAGGCAGAAGUAGGGAAUCUUCCGCAAUGGACGAAAGUCUGACGGAGCAACGCCGCGUGAGUGAUGAAGGCUUUCGGGUCGUAAAACUCUGUUGUUAGGGAAGAACAAGUGCUAGUUGAAUAAGCUGGCACCUUGACGGUACCUAACCAGAAAGCCACGGCUGACUACGUGCCAGCCGCCGCGGUAA